CUCGUGUAUUUGUUUCUUGUCUCUGCAGCAGAAGUUUGUUCGCUGUUCGGUCCGGGCCGAGGUGAGGCACCUACGGAAAGUCCUUUGUCAUCGGCUUAACGUGGAAAAAAAUCAGGUCCAGAUGUUGUUCAAUAACGAGUCGCUGCCCGAUCACAUGACCAUGAAACGGUUAUGGCUCUCUCACUGGUUUGGCAAGGCCCAACCAUUAGUGCUGCACUACACCAUCAAGGACAAAAGGAGCAGAUAGGACUUUCACUCUGAGGACAGCUGUACAUAUUUUGUAGCAUACAUAUUCUAUUUUAAUAGUGUUUGUGUACAUAUACUUAUUUUCCUUGUUUUGUAUUUUUGAAAAUAAAUUUGAAAUGGGAAAAUUAA